rnacentral:tRNA from 1 species
AGGUCUAUCGCCAAGUGGUAAGGCAACAGGUUUUGAUCCCGUCAUUCCCUGGUUCGAAUCCAGGUAGACCUGCCA